GCAAACUUGGUCAUUUAGAGGAAGUAAAAGUCGUAACAAGGUUUCCGUAGGUGAACCUGCGGAAGGAUCAUCAAAGGAUUAUAAAUCUUUUUUCACCUUGUGUGCAACUAUUGAAAAAAAGGUGGCCUUUGGGAGAAGGGGUUUCGGACUUCAUGGGAUCUCAUCUCCCAGAGGUAUAUUUAACCUACAAUUUUUUAUGACUAAAAUUUUAAUAAAAAAAAAUUAAUAAAACAACUUUCAACAACGGAUCUCUUGGCUCUCGCAUCGAUGAAGAACGCAGC
rnacentral:misc_RNA from 1 species